rnacentral:rRNA from 1 species
AUGGUUAAGUUAGAAAGGGCGCACGGUGAAUGCCUUGGCACUAGGAGCCGAUGAAGGACGGGACUAACACCGAUAUGCUUCGGGGAGCUGUAAGUGAGCUUUGAUCCGGAGAUUUCCGAAUGGG